rnacentral:rRNA from 1 species
CUGGACAAUCCUGCUGCUUGGAGCUCCUAAGUUAAACAAGGUCAGACCUGGUUAGUUCUCGGAUGGAGUGACCUCCAAGGAAAACACAGGUGUUAACCUGC